GAUAAACGCUGGCGGCGCACAUAAGACAUGCAAGUUGAACGGACUUAAUCGAAAUAUUUAUAUUUUGAAGCGGUUAGUGGCGGACUGGUGAGUAACGCGUAAGGAACCUGCCUAUUAGAGGGGAAUAACAGUGAGAAAUCAUUGCUAAUACCGCAUAUGCCAUAGAUAUCACAUGAUAACAGUGGGAAAGGAGCAAUCCGCUAAUAGAUGGCCUUGCGUCUGAUUAGAUAGUUGGUGGGGUAACGGCCUACCAAGUCGACGAUCAGUAGCCGGACUGAGAGGUUGAACGGCCACAUUGGGACUGCGAUACGGCCCUGACUCCUACGGGAGGCAGCAGUCGGGAAUAUUGCGCAAUGGAGGAAACUCUGACGCAGUGACGCCGCGUAUAGGAAGAAGGUUUUCGGAUUGUAAACUAUUGUCGUUAGGGAAGAGAAAGGACAGUACCUAAGGAGGAAGCUCCGGCUAACUACGUG
rnacentral:rRNA from 1 species